rnacentral:lncRNA from 1 species
AAAUAACCUUUGCUAUAUUACUACUGCUGUACAAUUAGUUCUUUACUGAUCCGUACAGUACGCUCUUUUCGAAGUGCUAGUUAAUUUAUUUUUACAACUAUUGAUGGAAAUUUGAUGGGUGCAACUAAAUUGCUCGGGUAUUAUAUCAAGAGAUAUUGUUUGAUUGUAUCAAUACCACUAAUUACAGUGACUUCUAUAUAUUACGAUCAAAAGCGUACUCGUUGGUGGAAAAAUCAACAGUUACUUGAGCAGCAACAAAA